rnacentral:sRNA from 1 species
ACUCAACAUUAAUUUGAUUAAAAAGGGUGAGUUUAGAUUAUAAAAGAAUGCCUUGCUUGUACAAGGAACCUUGAGUAGUCUGUUAGCCCUAAACCUGUUUAUUGGAGUUU